rnacentral:misc_RNA from 1 species
AAUGAAGAACGCAGCGAAAUGCGAUAAGUAAUGUGAAUUGCAGAAUUCAGUGAAUCAUCGAAUCUUUGAACGCACCUUGCACCCUUUGGCAUUCCGAAGGGUAUGCUCGUUUGAGUGUCAUUGUACUCUCACACUCUCCGAUCCUAUGGAUUCGGGGAGCGGUGGACUUGGGUGUUGCUGCCUUUCCUUGUGGCUCACCUCAAAUGUGUCAGUGCACCUCUUGGUUGGACAUAGUACGGCGUGAUAAGUGUCUUCGCCGGCACCUCGCAAGAGGGUGGCCGAUCGGGAGCUCUGUGCUUUCAAACCGUCUUCGGACAAUUUCUGACAACUUGACCUCAAAUCGAGUAGGACUACCCGCUGAACUUAAGCAUAUCAAUAAGCGGAGGA